GAUGAACGCUGGCGGCGUGCCUAAUACAUGCAAGUCGAGCGAACAGACGAGGAGCUUGCUCCUUCGACGUUAGCGGCGGACGGGUGAGUAACACGUAGGUAACCUACCUAUAAGACUGGGAUAACUUCGGGAAACCGGAGCUAAUACCGGAUAAUAUUUCGAACCGCAUGGUUCGAUAGUGAAAGAUGGCUUUGCUAUCACUUAUAGAUGGACCUGCGCCGUAUUAGCUAGUUGGUAAGGUAACGGCUUACCAAGGCAACGAUCCGUAGCCGACCUGAGAGGGUGAUCGGCCACACUGGAACUGAGACACGGUCCAGACUCCUACGGGAGGCAGCAGUAGGGAAUAUUCCGCAAUGGGCGAAAGCCUGACGGAGCAACGCCGCGUGAGUGAUGAAGGUCUUCGGAUCGUAAAACUCUGUUAUUAGGGAAGAACAAACGUGUAAGUAACUGUGCACGUCUUGACGGUACCUAAUCAGAAAGCCACGGCUAACUACGUG
rnacentral:rRNA from 1 species